CCGCGUUGAUAAUGGACUGAACCUCUGAAACUAAGCUAACUCCCUCAAUUAAACGUUUCCUUAUACGAGUUGCCAUGUCCACGGUCUCUCCUCACAGCAAUAACAACUCUAACUAAGACAAUGGGAAAGGACAUCUCUGUGCAGUGAGGUAAGGCUUAUAUAACCCAAGCCUAUCAAUCAAAAGCAGAAGAUCACUUAUAGCCUGCCCCUGGCAACCAACUAUUCUCUCUCCUGGACUCACAAAAGGAAUACCCAGGCAGUGACCAGACCCUCUUAAAUAGCAAGCCUGCUCAGACCCCACUCUCUUGCAGCAUAUUUGACCUAUACUUAAGCUUUGCUCCCAAACCAAAUCCCUGCGGCUUUACUUAAUUUAUCUGAUUCUUUAACUCUUUGAACAACAUCUCUGGAAACAAUUACUCAGACAGAGACCACCGGUAACAGAACUGUUCUAUUUUCUUUGAGAAUAAUCUUUCUCAAGAAUGUGUCUACCUUUCUACCUAUCUGGUUUGGAAUGCCAUAACAAGGUGUUUUAACUAAUGGAGAUUAAUUUUCUGAUAGUAGUAGAGGCUGACUAAGAUCAGGGUGCAGCAUGGCCAGGUUCUGUGGAGGGUUCUGUUCCUGUCUUACAGUAAGCAGAUGUCUUAUUGUGUGUGCCUAGAGAGAAAGUCCCAUCUUUGGUUUGUUUCUUUUUACAGUUAUAAUGUCACUCCAAGGGGCUGUUACUAUGACUACAUCUGUGCCUAUUACAAUGCUGUCACUUCAGAUAUCAUCACAAUAGGGGUUAUGAUUUCAAUGAAUGAACUGGGUAGCCGGGUGGGGUGGUGGUGGAAUGACACAGUUUGGUCCUUCCACAGUGCUACCCAGCUGCAUUAUUUUGUCAAAGUAAGGGUGAGACUGAACCACUGUCUUCAGAAAAAUGGAUCCUUGAAGAGUAUCAGUUCAGUCCACAAUGGAACAAGUACCAGUUGUCUGAGAGUCUUGGCAGCAUGAGUGUCCUUCAUCCUCACCCAUACCCACUCUGGUGCCUGCACUUACUCACCCUGAUGCAUCCACCUUAGUCUUGUAGAGAGAUCCGUCACAAGAGAGUGUUUACAGCAAUGGCUCUUUAAACCCAAGAAGCAAUUCUCUUUCCUUUAAAAUAUCUAUAUCCAGACUGUAGUGAAAGCUGCUAGACAGGUCUCAGCAAUUCCAUGCCGCUGUGGCAGACCAGAUGGGUGCAGAAGUCUUCAAGGAGUGUGUAGAACUCGGAACAGAUUGUCUUCUUAGGUCACACAGGCUGACACUCUACGGACACGUACCAUCGAAAUAAACCGGGGCUACUGUGUGUUUCCCAGAGGCCGGCUUGUCCCUGCCCCUCUUCCUUUCCCACUCAGGAAACCAUGUCAGCAGGGUUGCAGACAACAUAAACUAACUCUGGCCAGAAUUUGCUGGAUGAACAGUCAGAUCCUGAAAUUUAGGAGUUGAAGCAGCAAGCAGUUGGAUGACACAAGCAGUGGACCUCUGGGGCCUCGGAAGCAGAUAUUUAUGGAUCUUUCCUCUGUAAUGUUGAUGCCUUUAUUUCUCGUCUUUAGUGAUCUGUCAUUGGUUACCAGGAAGACAGGGCUGUGUCUCAAACAUGGACACUGCUAUCACGUCUCUGAUUCAGGAGCACUUCGCUAGGCAAAGGGAAUACUGGGAGACUAAUGUAUUUUAAAGGGUUUCUUUUUUGUAUAUUUUUUGAAAUGUUUUUGUACUAUGGAAAAAGUAAUUUUAGAGUCAACAAAUGUUAUUAAUGUAGAUAUCAGCUUACCAUAAAAGAGAGACAUAGGAAAUAUUUAUGUGAUGGGCUGGAGGUGUAGCUCAGUGGUGGAACGCUUAGCUAGCAUGCAUGAGGCCCUGGGUUCAAUCCCAAGAAAACCUCCUCCCCUACAAAAAAGCAGAAAAUCGUUACAGGAUGGAAUUUCAGAAUGUCACUGAAAGGUUUUAAAGGUUUUGUUGAGGCGUGAUUGACAUAUAACGAAGUCCACAUAUUUGAAAUCAUGGUUUGGUAUAUUUUGGUACUGAUGAUGCACAUCUGAAAAACUUCCACAAUGAUGAAGACAAUGAAUGAAUGUCUUGCAUCCUUGGAUGUCUCCUUGUGCCUUUGUGUCCCUUCCCUCAACCCCUGCCAUCCCUAAGCACCCACUGCCUAUGUCCGUUAGAUUGACUUGCAUUUUAUAGUGUUUCAUAUAAAUGCGAUCAUACAGUUCAUUUCUUCUUUUUGACUCAGUAUGACUGCUGUGAGACUCAUCCAUGUCGCAGUAGAUAGCAGUGCUUUGUUUCUUUACAUGAGUGACUAAUGCUGAAUAGAUUAUAUAGAUUAUACUAAUGCUGAAUAGAUUAUAUAAACUAUUAGUUAGCAAGCAUUUUACUUAUUUCGGUUUGGGCAUAUUACCAAUAAAAAUGUUAUAAGAA